UACGGAGGGGCUAGCGUUGUUCGGAAUUACUGGGCGUAAAGCGCACGUAGGCGGCUUUGUAAGUUAGAGGUGAAAGCCCGGGGCUCAACUCCGGAAUUGCCUUUAAGACUGCAUCGCUAGAAUUGUGGAGAGGUAAGUGGAAUUCCGAGUGUAGAGGUGAAAUUCGUAGAUAUUCGGAAGAACACCAGUGGCGAAGGCGACUUACUGGACACA
rnacentral:rRNA from 1 species